rnacentral:rRNA from 1 species
AGUGGCGCACGGGUGAGUAACACGUGACUAACCUACCCUUGAGUGGGGGAUAACUGAGGGAAACCUUAGCUAAUACCGCAUAAUACCCACGGGUCAAAGGAGCAAUUCGCUCGAGGAGGGGGUCGCGGCCGAUUAGUUAGUAGGCGGGGUAAUGGCCCACCAAGACGAUGAUCGGUAUCCGGCCUGAGAGGGCGCACGGACACACUGGAACUGAAACACGGUCCAGACUCCUACGGGAGGCAGCAGUGGGGAAUUUUGCGCAAUGGGGGAAACCCUGACGCAGCAACGCCGCGUGGAGGAUGAAGACCUUCGGGACGUAAACUCCUUUCGAUCGGGACGAUUAUGACGGUACCGGAAGAAGAAGCCCCGGCUAACUUCGUGCCAGCAGCCGCGGUAAUACGAGGGGGGCGAGCGUUGUUCGGAAUUAUUGGGCGUAAAGGGUGCGUAGGCGGUUUGGUAAGUCUGAUGUGAAAUCUAUGGGCUCAACUCAUAGUCUGCAUCGGA